GAUGAACGCUGGCGGCGUGCCUAAUACAUGCAAGUCGAGCGAACGGACGAGAAGCUUGCUUCUCUGAUGUUAGCGGCGGACGGGUGAGUAACACGUGGAUAACCUACCUAUAAGACUGGGAUAACUUCGGGAAACCGGAGCUAAUACCGGAUAAUAUUUUGAACCGCAUGGUUCAAAAGUGAAAGACGGUCUUGCUGUCACUUAUAGAUGGAUCCGCGCUGCAUUAGCUAGUUGGUAAGGUAACGGCUUACCAAGGCAACGAUGCAUAGCCGACCUGAGAGGAUGAUCGGCCACACUGGAACUGAGACACGGUCCAGACUCCUACGGGAGGCAGCAGUAGGGAAUCUUCCGCAAUGGGCGAAAGCCUGACGGAGCAACGCCGCGUGAGUGAUGAAGGUCUUCGGAUCGUAAAACUCUGUUAUUAGGGAAGAACAUAUGUGUAAGUAACUGUGCACAUCUUGACGGUACCUAAUCAGAAAGCCACGGCUAACUACGUG
rnacentral:rRNA from 1 species